UACGAAGGGUGCGAGCGUUAUUCGGAAUAACUGGGUGUAAAGAGUGUGUUGGCGGUUUCUUAAGUCAGUUGUUAAAGCGCUCGGCUUAACCGGGCAAAUGCGAUUGAAACUGGGAGACUAGAGUACGGGAGAGAAAGGUAGAAUUCUCGGAGUAGCGGUAAAAUGCGUAGAUCUCGAGAGGAAUACCGGUUGCGAAGGCGGCCUUUUGGUCCGUUACUGACGCUUAAGCACGAAAGCGUGGGGAGCAAACAGG
rnacentral:rRNA from 1 species